AGAACAUUAAGUUUAGCAUAGGACAUAGAUUCAAUAAUUUGCUUGAUAAUUUCAAUCGGCAAAUAGUGUCUUGAUGUAUCUAACAGAAGACCGCGAUAUGCAAAUCUGGGCUUGUCUUGAAUAAACCAUGGAGCCUUACGAAUUUGCACUGUUUUAACCCCGUAAUCAAACUUGCAUAACUGACUCAAUGUCUCAAGCCCUCUUAGUGCACCAUAAACAGAAUUUGCCUCAAUCGAGACUCCCCCGAUAAUUGAACGUUCAUUGCUCUUCGUCACCAAUAACGAGUAGCUCUCAUCAAUGCCAAGUUGCAACUCAUCAUUAUCAGAAUGAACAAUGACGGUAACCCUAUUGACAUCAAAAUAUUCACCAGAUUUAGCUAACUUAGCACCAUGCUUAAAAAUAAUCUUCUUAUAUCUCUCAAACGCUUGUUCAACAACAACUGAUCCACCACUACCACCACCAUUUCCGGUAAAAUCAAGUGUCAAAUUAGGAUCAACAGUGAGCGUAUCGUUACCGGAAGUGAAUUGUGCCGGCAACGGCCAUACAUAUGUAAGAGAUUCAUCGAGCUCUAUACUGUGAUGAUGCGUUGACUUUAUAGAACGAGCGUUGACCAGUGAGAAAAUGGAUAUGGAGAAGAAGAAGG
rnacentral:misc_RNA from 1 species